GACGAACGCUGGCGGCGUGCUUAACACAUGCAAGUCGAGCGGUAAGGCCCUUUCGGGGGUACACGAGCGGCGAACGGGUGAGUAACACGUGGGUGACCUGCCCUCAGCUCUGGGAUAAGCCUGGGAAACCGGGGUCUAAUACCGGAUAUGACUCCAUGACGCAUGUUGUGGGGUGGAAAGCCUUGUGCGGCUGAGGAUGGGCCCGCGGCCUAUCAGCUUGUUGGUGGGGUGAUGGCCUACCAAGGCGACGACGGGUAGCCGGCCUGAGAGGGCGACCGGCCACACUGGGACUGAGACACGGCCCAGACUCCUACGGGAGGCAGCAGUGGGGAAUCUUGCGCAAUGGGCGAAAGCCUGACGCAGCGACGCCGCGUGAGGGAUGACGGGCC
rnacentral:rRNA from 1 species